rnacentral:sRNA from 1 species
AUGGUCAUUAAUAUGCUGUCCUUCUGUGUAAAAGAAACUGAAAUUGCUAAUAGGUAUGUUCCAACACUUUACUUUUCAUUGCCAUUCAAAAUCAAAAUAUCAAAGGCCAAAAUUUAAAUAUCAAUUAAUAAAUCAGGAUUCUUAUUGGGAAAGUAUAAAUUCACCAGAUAUUUGCAACACCUGCUUUAUGAAAAAAACAUCUUGAAGUGGCAUGAUUGGGCUGAGAAAAGACUGGGAGAUAGAACAAGCGAUUGGAACCCCUAUUUUGCUUUCAUAUAAUUAUACAUUCAUGGUAUUUGAGAUAAGAAUGAUCAAGAUAUUGUAGUUCCUGAAACUGUAUUGUAAAAAGCUACUGCUAUAACUAGACCAACCUCUAGGUCAAUUAUACACUAACACACUAAAAAGUCUUACUUUCAAUUGGUUUCUUGCUUUUCCUUUUUUUUUUUUUUGAUCUAUGAAGGAGAAAAAUUACGCAAAAUUAUAUCGUUUUUGUAAUUACAGUGCCUAUUACAUGUUUCAUUUAGAGUUGUACGCAUGAGUUUUUAUUGGUCAAUGGAAAAUUUUUGUGUUUGGUAGUUGUUUGUGAUAUUGAUUUAAUGAAAAUAUUGUUGAAUGUAUGAUUUAUCCAUU